AAACCCUAAAACCUAACCCUAAUUUUUCUAAUUCAAACGGCGCCCCAUCCCCUCUAACCUAGUCUCUGCUACGCCCAACUCCACCCAAAAUCGCCUGAAACUCAGGCGAGUUCACCCCAAACUCGCCCCACGUACUCCCUUCUCUCUACUCUUGCCACGUAGCGUAACUAUUUCUGACAAACAUAAUUAUUCUUUUUGGGUUUCACGGGUUUAGAUUCCUUGUUGAGUGAUUUUGAGAUUAGUGGGAGCCAUGGAUUGAUUGUCAAUCGAUCCACACCCUCCAUUUGUCUCAAAAAUCGUUUACACAAAGAGAUUGGAGGACUUUCUUUUUGGAUUUGGGGCAGAAGGUGUUCAAAGAACGGGGUUCGAUUGAGUUUAGAGUAGAUUGAUUUUUUUCCGGCUGUUCGAUUCCUGCUGCUGGUUUGUGGGUUUUGUCGCAAUUUUUGUUCGAACUCGUUUUGUGUGAAUCAUUGUAGCCGAGCUUCAGUUUGUGGCUGCUCUUAGCCUUUACUUGGUUUUGCUAAGUCUGUUUCUUUGCUGGUAUGUAAAUCCUAACUUAUUUUUGAUUCAGGGAUGAAAUUUUGUUGUAUACCUAUUGAUUCUCAUAUUGAUUAAGUGAUGUUUCGCCAAAGUUUUAAGUUCUGUUGCUUUUUUGCUUGUUCUUGAUUCAUUUGGCUCUGUUAAGAUUUGGAGUCGACAAAAUAAGCUAUUGAUGGAUUUGAAUGAUUUGGGGAAGUCUGUUUUUUCUUUUCCUUUCUGUGAGACUAUGAUGGUGGUUUGAACUUUAUGUAAAUAUGUUUGUGUUGAAAGGUCUUGAGUAGCAGACUAUAAGCAUCGCUGAAGCCAUAUGAUUCAAUCAAUUUCCUCUUUCGUUAUUAUAGGAGCUGCUGGGUUGAAAAUCAUUUUACAACGACAUGAGCGUUAACUAGUUAAGACGUCAUGGCCUUGCUUCUAAUUUCAUGAGUUUCUUGUAUCAAUUUGUACUAAGUGAAACCUCUUCCCUUGAGUAGUAUAUCUUGAUUCUUGAA